AAGCCCAACGGCUGAGUUGCAACACAAUCGAAUUGCGGGGAAGUCCUAAAGCCUCAGGGUACUAACCUGCUGUAGGAAUGCAGCAGGGGCCUGUGUUAAUCGCACAGGGUAUAGUAACAACCCCGGAGGAUCUAGCCAGGUGUGCUAGAAUGGACGAUCCGCAGCGAAGCCCCUAGACCAGGGGAACGUUCACAGACUAAGUGGUUGUGGGUAGGAGGGACUCCUGCUUAAGAUAUAGUCGGGCCGGCGCGGAAACGCGCUGGGGAUUCGCAAGAACGUAAACCGCUCCGUAGGUGAACCUGCGGAGGGAUC
rnacentral:ncRNA from 1 species